UGGGAACGUGCCCUUUGGUUCGGAAACAACUCCGGGAAAACUGGAGCUAAUACCGGAUAAGCCCUUCGGGGGAAAGAUUUAUCGCCAAAGGAUCGGCCCGCGUCUGAUUAGCUAGUUGGUGAGGUAAUGGCUCACCAAGGCGACGAUCAGUAGCUGGUCUGAGAGGAUGAUCAGCCACAUUGGGACUGAGACACGGCAACAAACUCCUACGAGAGGCAG
rnacentral:rRNA from 1 species